CCUGCUCAAUGAUUAUUAAAUAGCCGCAAUUUCAUGUGCUAAGGUAGCAUAAUAAUUUGUUCCCUAAUUAGGAAAUAGAAUGAAAGGAUACACGAUUUAUAUUCUUUCUUAAUUAUGAAAAUUUAAAUUAUAAUAGAAAUAAAAAUAUUUCUGUAAUAUAGGAAGACGACAAGACCCUAAGAACUUCAUUAAUAAUUUAACUGGGGAAGUUUAAUAAAUAAACUUUAUAAUAAUAAAUAUAAUUAAAUGCUUAAAAUAGAAAUAUCAUAGUUACCUUAGGGAUAACAGCAUAAUUUUUAUUUAAAGCUCUAAUUCAAAUAAUUUUUAUGACCUCGAUGUUGAAUUAAUUUAACUUUUAUAAGCACAAAUAUAAAAAGUAAGUCUGUUCGACUAUUAAACUAUUACAU
rnacentral:rRNA from 1 species